UAACCAGCACUUUGUAUUUUGCCCGGAAACAUAUCGACAGCCAGUGCAACUGUUUCAAAACAGUAACUGUUUCAAAACUGUUUCAAACAUAAUUUGUAUUAUGUUUCCUUGUCAAAGUGUACACAGGGCAUCUAGACACAAAAUAU